rnacentral:rRNA from 1 species
CCUGAAUUCGAAAGGGACCGGAUUCAAGUCUUACCGAGUGUCCGGGGCGUCCCCGCCAGAUGGUGCCGGUCGCCCGCUAGCGAUUCACUUCGCUUGCGGUGUCGUUCCCGGCGAUCACUCGGCGGUUUCAGGCACGCAUUCCCGGUUCCGGAGGGCCGCACUUCCUCCCUAGUAGAAACGUCGCGACCCGUUGGGUGCCGGUCCAAGGCCCUGGGAUGGCAGCCCGCGCGUCCCGUGGGGGUUCUCACGGGCGCGCGGACUCUCGGUGACCCGGCCGGCUGCCCGACGGUAGGACCAGAGGAGUCGAUCCGCUUGAACAUGAGAAACACUGUGAGUGUGUAGCGUCCGGCCCGGCGCCGGGGCGUGCGGGGAUUAACGGUGUUAAAAAGCCGGGGGUGUCCGUGCGAAGCACGGCCCCGGCCCCGCCGCGUCCCCGGAAUGUCCGGUGUCCUCGGACAGGAUCAGCACUCCCGUCAGCGACGACCACCUUCGGAUGGUCUCCCG